UUGCAGUCGCUGCGCACAGAGAACGUGGGCUUCCCUUCGGGGCGUCUGUGAAGGUGCUGCAUGGUUGUCGUCAGCUCGUGCCGUGAGGUGUCGGCUUAAGUGCCAUAACGAGCGAAAAACCCUUUCCCAGUUGCCAUCGGGUCAUGCCGGGCACUCUGGGGACACUGCCACCGCAAGGUGCGAGGAAGGUGGGGAUGACGUCAAAUCAGCACGGCCCUUACGUCCGGGGCUACACACGUGUUACAAUGGCCGGUACAGAGGGACGGUGUAAUGCAAGUUGCAUCCAAUCUUGAAAUCCGGUCCCAGUUCGGACUGGGGUCUGCAACCCGACCCCACGAAGCUGGAUUCGCUAGUAAUCGCGCAUCAGCCAUGGCGCGGUGAAUACGUUCCCGGGCCUUGUACACACCGCCCGUCAAGCCAUGAAAGCCGGGGGUGCCUGAAGUUCGUGACCGCGAGGAGCGACCUAGGGCAAGACCGGUGAUUGGGGCUAAGUCGUAACAAGGUAGCCG
rnacentral:rRNA from 1 species